rnacentral:rRNA from 1 species
UACGUAGGGUGCGAGCGUUUAAUCGGAAUUACUGGGCGUAAAGCGUGCGCAGGCGGUUUUGUAAGCCAGAUGUGAAAUCCCCCGGGCUUAACCUGGGAAUGGCAUUUGGGACUGCAAGGCUUGAGUUGUGGCAGAGGAGACUGGAAUUCCUGGUGUAGCAGUGAAAUGCGUAGAUAUCAGGAGGAACACCAAUGGCGAAGGCAGCACUCUGGGAACGUGACUGACGGCUGAGACGCGAAAGCGUGGGGAGCAAACAGG